rnacentral:rRNA from 1 species
UACAGAGGUCCCAAGCGUUGUUCGGAUUCAUUGGGCGUAAAGGGUGCGUAGGUGGCGCUGUAAGUCAGGUGUGAAAUCUCGGGGCUCAACCCCGAAACUGCACUUGAUACUGCGGUGCUCGAGUACUGGAGAGGAGAUUGGAAUUUACGGUGUAGCAGUGAAAUGCGUAGAUAUCGUAAGGAAGACCAGUGGCGAAGGCGAAUCUCUGGACAGUUACUGACACUGAGGCACGAAGGCCAGGGGAGCAAACGGG